CAAUAAUCCGUGCAGAACAGAAACAAUGUGAACAUUCCACUGGAUAUUAUAAAACACAAUGGAGGGAAUACUUUAGCCUUGAAUCAAUAGCUUUUCACAGCAUUGUUAUUGGAGGCAGUCUAAGGACUUCAAUAAACAUGAAUACUACAGGAAUAAAUCUGGUUGCUGUACAACCCAUGAGCAUGAAUGGAUUUCUACAUUCUAGCUGUUUUCCACAAUGAAAUUAAAAGUAGCUGUCAAAACUAUUACUGACUUUAAAUAAUGCCUCACUACAAAUUUCUAAGGAUAUUUGAUAACAGCAAGGGGUUGCAGAGCAUUACACUCAGAGCUGUAUUCACAGCAGAAACACUGUUAUUUAUUGUAUACUUCUGACAGGAAUACUGACUAUGUUGGAACAGGGUGGAGGUGAACCUUCUUUAAUGAAUAAACUGGGGACAUUUUGUGCUUUCA